rnacentral:rRNA from 2 species
CGGCUAACUCCGUGCCAGCAGCCGCGGUAAUACGGAGGGUGCGAGCGUUAAUCGGAAUUACUGGGCGUAAAGGGCACGCAGGCGGUUAAUUAAGUUGGAUGUGAAAUCCCCGGGCUUAACCUGGGAAUGGCAUUCAAGACUGGUUAGCUAGAGUCUUGUAGAGGGGGGUAGAAUUCCAUGUGUAGCGGUGAAAUGCGUAGAGAUGUGGAGGAAUACCGGUGGCGAAGGCGGCUCCCUGGACAAAGACUGACGCUCAUGUGCGAAAGCGUGGGGAGCAAACAGGAUUAGAUACCCUGGUAGUCCACGCUGUAAACGAUGUCGAUUUGGAGGUUGUGGUCAUAAACUGUGGCCUCCGGAGCUAACGCGUUAAAUCGACCGCCUGGGGAGUACGGCCGCAAGGUUAAAACUCAAAUGAAUUGACGGGGGCCCGCACAAGCGGUGGAGCAUGUGGUUUAAUUCGAUGCAACGCGAAGAACCUUACCUACUCUUGACAUCCAGCGAAUCCUUUAGAGAUAGAGGAGUGCCUUCGGGAGCGCUGAGACAGGUGCUGCAUGGCUGUCGUCAGCUCGUGUUGUGAAAUGUUGGGUUAAGUCCCGCAACGAGCGCAACCCUUAUCCUUUGUUGCCAGCG